AGGGUUCGAUUCUGGCUCAGGAUGAACGCUAGCUACAGGCUUAACACAUGCAAGUCGAGGGGCAGCAUGAUCGAAGCUUGCUUUGAUUGAUGGCGACCGGCGCACGGGUGAGUAACGCGUAUCCAACCUUCCCUGUACUAGAGGAUAGCCCGGCGAAAGUCGGAUUAAUACUCUAUGUUAUUCGAUGCGGACAUCUAAUUUGAAUCAAAGGUUUACCGGUAUAGGAUGGGGGAUGCGUCUGAUUAGGUUGUUGGCGGGGUAACGGCCCACCAAGCCGACGAUCAGUAGGGGUUCUGAGAGGAAGGUCCCCCACAUUGGAACUGAGACACGGUCCAAACUCCUACGGGAGGCAGCAGUGAGGAAUAUUGGUCAAUGGACGAAAGUCUGAACCAGCCAAGUAGCGUGCAAGGAUGACGGCCCUAUGGGUUGUAAACUGCUUUUAUACAGGGAUAAAGUCAGUUACGUGUAACUGUUUGUAGGUACUGUAUGAAUAAGGACCGGCUAAUUCCGUGCCAGCAGCAGC
rnacentral:rRNA from 1 species